UACGUAGGGUGCAAGCGUUGUCCGGAAUUAUUGGGCGUAAAGAGCUCGUAGGCGGUUUGUUGCGUCGGCUGUGAAAUCCCGAGGCUCAACCUCGGGUCUGCAGUCGAUACGAGCAAACUAGAGUGUUGCAGGGGAGACUGGAAUUCCUGGUGUAGCGGUGAAAUGCGUAGAUAUCUGGAGGAACACCGGUGGCGAAGGCGGCAUCCUGGACCGGUAUUGACGCUGAGGAGCGAAAGCCAGGGGAGCAAACGGG
rnacentral:rRNA from 1 species